CAAGCAGCGCCAUGUCCGUACCUGGGAUCCGAACCAGUGAACCCUGGGCCGCCAAGAAGCAGAACAUGUGAACUUCACCGCUGCACCACCGGGCCGGCCCCUGUAUGCAUAUUUUCUAUAUGCAUGGACAGAAAAAGACUGAAAGGACGUAUGCUAAGGUGUUAACAGCAGAUUUAUGGUGGGGUUAUGAAUGAUAUUUAUUUUAUUUUCUAUAUUUUCUGCAUUCUCUAUAAGAAGUAUGUGUUAAUUUUAUAAUCAUAAAAUAUGUUAUAGAAAAGAUUUUUUAAAAACUUUGAAUAAAUCCUCUUUAUUUGGAAAUCAGUAUACUUAUUUCCACGUCUUUUACAGUGUUACCUACAGUACUCUAUCAUGAGAAAUGUUUCCAGAAAUGGUUCCGUGAACAUCAGAAGGUUCUUAAUCGUCAAACAUUAAUUGUAUUUACUUUGCUUCCUAAGAGAACAAAAAUUGUUGUAAGGAAGAAUAAGCUUCUGACCCACUGACAAGUAGUUGACUGCUUCGAAGAAAGCUCUCUUCAAAACUUGUAACUUCAUCCUUCAGUCCUAGGCCCUGGAUUAUGCCCUCUCCACAGCAUUUGUUCAACAGCGCUUGAUGUAGCCACAAUCAUCUUAUUUUAUGUGAGUGUUUCACUGUGUUUCUCUUAGCCUAAAAAACCUCUAAGGAAGGGAUUGUGCACUUCAUUUUUGUACAGUGUUGAAUAUGAUGCCCAUCAUCCAAAAGUUAAAGGAGAAUAACAAUAACUUUAAAUUUAUAUAGAGUCCUGUAGAGUUUUGUUAAUUGUUCUUCACUUGAUAAAUGACCCUCGACAUACUCCCUCCAGUGGAUGUUUACUUAAGACUAAACUAAUCCUGUGCUGAAAUAUGAUUACCCUUUGGAUAUGCUCUGGUUGUUCAUUGCCUUCCUGUCUUUAAUAAAAUGCUUUCACUUUCCUGCCCUUCAAUAAGUUACUAAAGGGAGCAGACACUUUUCUGGACAGUCUCUGUUUGAUAAAUGAUCAUGUCAUGCUCUCACUUAGAGGAGUGCUGAAAAAUACUGAAGAGCCAAUUCUAUUUCCCAUGCAGGGGUGGUGCCUAAGCUCCUUUAUGGGCCCCUGCAGCACUGGCUAUGCUGUCUUUACAAUUAAUGGCUACUGAUGAACCUGUAUUUGACCAUCGUGCUCCAAUCUUUAUCGGAAACGUCUGGCCCAACUGUCUUAGCUAAAUCUAAAGACAGCCAUUUGUCAUCCCCCUGACUGCCUGUCAUCAUCUGCCUGGGAAAAUCUAUAAUUUUUGGCUUGUUCCUGACUAAACUGUGGAGUGAAUAAAUUUAUCUUUGGGCCACUCUGCUUGUCAGGAUCAAUAUUGAGCAGAGGUUGAAUAAAUUAGAAACUGGAAAAACA